rnacentral:rRNA from 1 species
GUGGGGAAUAUUGGACAAUGGGCGAAAGCCUGAUCCAGCCAUGCCGCGUGUGUGAAGAAGGUCUUCGGAUUGUAAAGCACUUUAAGUUGGGAGGAAGGGCAGUAAGUUAAUACCUUGCUGUUUUGACGUUACCGACAGAAUAAGCACCGGCUAACUUCGUGCCAGCAGCCGCGGUAAUACGAAGGGUGCAAGCGUUAAUCGGAAUUACUGGGCGUAAAGCGCGCGUAGGUUGUUUUGUAAGUUGGAGGUGAAAUCCCCGGGCUCAACCUGGGAACUGCCUCCAAAACUGCAUGACUAGAGUACGGUAGAGGGUAGUGGAAUUUCCUGUGUAGCGGUGAAAUGCGUAGAUAUAGGAAGGAACACCAGUGGCGAAGGCGACUACCUGGACUGAUACUGACACUGAGGUGCGAAAGCGUGGGGAGCAAACAGGAUUAGAAACCCCAGUAGUCC